rnacentral:lncRNA from 1 species
AUCAUGGUCCCCUAAUUAUUUAUGGAAUAAGAGAGAGGGUUGGUAUGACAGAUUCCUCUUUUUUUUUAAUUGUUGUUUUGUUUUAGGAAGAAAUGAAAGAGACCAUUUGGGUUCCAUGCUGGAUGAGACUUCAAACAAUCAGCAAUGCCCUCUAAGCUCCACCUCCACCACUACCUCAGGUAGGAGGAGCCACCAAU